AGCCCUAGUAAUUACAACUUGUAAGGUGUGUCCUAUCAUGUCCAACGAUGCUAAGGAAAGUGAGGAAUCUAAGAAGAAAGCAUACCUAGUGUUUGAACUUGAAGAUGGUUCUGUUGAAGAGAUAGAGGAGGAGACUCUGUUCAAAGAAGUGAGUCGUCGUAUAUUAGAAGAACAAACUCCUGAGGAGAUUUCUAAGAUAAUUGAUAUGUGUAAAAAUAUCAAAAAGGAGGAAAAAUUGGAACCGGACGUAAACAAAGUUACUGAUGAUCCACGUAUGAGACUUCUCAAUAAGUUACAUGCUAAGAAAGAGAAAGAACUGAGGAAGAAAUUUAAGGUAUACUAUAUUGCAAUAGUAUUUCACCUAUUAAUAAAUAAGUAGUAAUUUUCUUAAUUUUUGUAUAUAUAAAAUUAGCUUAAUGCGUCUAAGGAUGAUGAAGUAGUAAAAGAAUCAAAGGAAGAACCUUCAGUUGAUGAGUUGCUUUCAUUUAUUAAUGGCAAUGACGGAGAAGAUACAAAAGGGGCUAGAAGAAACAAGAAAAAGAAGAACAAAGGAAGGAAAGACAAUACCAAAUGUCAUUCUUCAAAGAAUGCAAAUGAAGAUUAUAAUGAGAUCUCUACUUCUCAAGAUCAUGCUACUACUCUUGAGGAACUUAUUGAAGAUGAUUUUGAUCCUGUAUUGAAGGAAAAUCUUGAUAGG